UCAUCUUGGAUACAUGUACGACCGCGUU
rnacentral:sRNA from 1 species